CAGAUACUUAAACUCCUCCACUUGGGGCAGGACAUCCUCCCCGACCUGGAGAAGGCUCUCUACUCUUUUCUGGCUCAAGAUCAUGGCCUCAGAUUUGGAGGCACUGAUCCCCAUCCUGGCCGCCUCACACUCGGCUGUGAAACACUCCAGUGAGAGCUGCAGAUCACAAUCUGAUGAAGCCAAAAGAUAUGAGCCAGCAACUCU